rnacentral:rRNA from 1 species
GACGAACGCUGGCGGCGUGCUUAACACAUGCAAGUCGAACGGAAAGGCCCUGCUUUUGUGGGGUGCUCGAGUGGCGAACGGGUGAGUAACACGUGAGUAACCUGCCCUUGACUUUGGGAUAACUUCAGGAAACUGGGGCUAAUACCGGAUAGGAGCUCCUGCUGCAUGGUGGGGGUUGGAAAGUUUCGGCGGUUGGGGAUGGACUCGCGGCUUAUCAGCUUGUUGGUGGGGUAGUGGCUUACCAAGGCUUUGACGGGUAGCCGGCCUGAGAGGGUGACCGGCCACAUUGGGACUGAGAUACGGCCCAGACUCCUACGGGAGGCAGCAGUGGGGAAUAUUGCACAAUGGGCGGAAGCCUGAUGCAGCAACGCCGCGUGCGGGAUGACGGCCUUCGGGUUGUAAACCGCUUUCGCCUGUGACGAAGCGUGAGUGACGGUAAUGGGUAAAGAAGCACCGGCUAACUACGUGCCAGCAGCCGCGGUGAUACGUAGGGUGCGAGCGUUGUCCGGAUUUAUUGGGCGUAAAGGGCUCGUAGGUGGUUGAUCGCGUCGGAAGUGUAAUCUUGGGGCUUAACCCUGAGCGUGCUUUCGAUACGGGUUGACUUGAGGAAGGUAGGGGAGAAUGGAAUUCCUGGUGGAGCGGUGGAAUGCGCAGAUAUCAGGAGGAACACCAGUGGCGAAGGCGGUUCUCUGGGCCUUUCCUGACGCUGAGGAGCGAAAGCGUGGGGAGCGAACAGGCUUAGAUACCCUGGUAGUCCACGCUGUAAACGGUGGGUACUAGGUGUGGGGUCCAUUCCACGGGUUCCGUGCCGUAGCUAACGCUUUAAGUACCCCGCCUGGGGAGUACGGCCGCAAGGCUAAAACUCAAAGGAAUUGACGGGGCCCCGCACAAGCGGCGGAGCAUGCGGAUUAAUUCGAUGCAACGCGUAGAACCUUACCUGGGUUUGACAUGGAUCGGGAGUGCUCAGAGAUGGGUGUGCCUCUUUUGGGGUCGGUUCACAGGUGGUGCAUGGCUGUCGUCAGCUCGUGUCGUGAGAUGUUGGGUUAAGUCCCGCAACGAGCGCAACCCUUGUUCACUGUUGCCAGCACGUUAUGGUGGGGACUCAGUGGAGACCGCCGGGGUCAACUCGGAGGAAGGUGGGGAUAACGUCAAGUCAUCAUGCCCCUUAUGUCCAGGGCUUCACGCAUGCUACAAUGGCUGGUACAGAGAGUGGCGAGCCUGUGAGGGUGAGCGAAUCUCGGAAAGCCGGUCUCAGUUCGGAUUGGGGUCUGCAACUCGACCUCAUGAAGUCGGAGUCGCUAGUAAUCGCAGAUCAGCAACGCUGCGGUGAAUACGUUCCCGGGGCU